CACUGUAAAAUGUAAUUGCUGAGCUUACAAUUAAGUAAUUCCAACUUUUUCCCCACACAAAGUGCUUAAACUCAACUUCUUCAUUUAGCCUGCACAGAAUUCUUGUUUUUCUGUCAUUUGCGUCAACAUCUGAAAAUUAAUGAAAUGGUUCAGUGCCCAUACAAAGACAGCGAUUUUGAAAUUUUGUUCUCUUUACGUAGAUUAUUGCUGAUUUCAACCGGAUCACAAGCAAAAACCUCAAGCAAGAAUUUUUCUCAGCCCUUGAUAAACAUACAUCUCGUUUUCUGGAAGUUUUCGAUUCAAAGAAAGGCACAGCUGAAAAAAAGUCUGCAAACAUCACUGAUGUCACUGCUCCACAGACAGCAGUUCUCUGUGGCUUUGCUGUCCUUCUUGUGGAAGACACUACAGACUUCUUCAAAACAUGCUUUGUCUGUGAUAUAGUUGAACCUCAAGAAUCAAAGGGAAUUCUCACUGUGAUGCCAGAGGACAGCCCGAUGUCUCCACAAGGUUUGCCAGGAGGUCACUGAUACAGCAAUCAUUUUGGAGGGUCUUAUGGAUGGACUUUAGAAUGUUCAACAAGAUGUAUUAACAAAGAUUUAGUCUUGUGUCUAUUGCAGGUGUUAUAUCUAGGUUGAUGGGUGACAAAUCCCUAUACCCAGAACAAAAAUGUCUGUUUUAAGUGAAAGUGAAGUGACAUUCAGCCAAGUAUGGUGACCCAUACUCAGAAUUUGUGC